GGUGAGGUGGCAGGAGCGGUUGGGACUCUGUAGAGGCAAGGUCACACAGAGGUCAGGUGAAGUGGCAGAAGUGGAUGGAGCCAUGAGGAUUAAGGUCCUAAGGAGAACUGGUCAAAGAGCUGCCCCUCUAGCUCUGUAAGAUACACCACUCAGGACCACAGACGAUUGUAGUGGAGGAUUCCCUAACUGGUGACUGCUGGACUAAGACAUACUGGAUCCAAAAUGGUAUAGGCACUGAAAGCCCCACCUGGCAGCUGAUUCCUCUGAGGCCUGCACCCCUGUUCCUCUGUGGAGUCCACUAACUCCCAAAUGUAUAACCUCUGCCAAGCUCUGAUUGGCUCAGCUCUCAGGCUGUGCCUAUGUAAGACAUGCAAAACGGCUUGCCCAUAAUGCUGAUUUUCUGUACAUCUUCAGAAACAAGUACUGAGCAUGCCCAGUGUCUACCAUACCCUUCUGGAUGUUUCUGGUUCCCUGUAACUGAGUUAUCCUGUGCUGCUCUCUUCAUUUAUACAAAGACACAGAGGGUAUGCAUGGAAGUCCCCUUCCUGACUGGCUUCUCGCCCUUUCUUUGGGUGGGGAAUAGAUGGCUGCAGGAUAAAGCACAUGAGUUACACUAGCAGCAGAGCAAUGGCACCGUAGUCAGAGAAGGCAUGAGAUAAGAUGAUUGGCCAACAUUCCACUCAGCAGAGGGCAGUGGUAGAUGUGGGCUGAUACACCUGCUAAUGGGAUUUUAUAAACACUUCACAGAGCUACUCAUCACACACCAAGGUGGAAAUUACUUCUCCUCCUAGGAAAGCUUUGUAUAACUGAUCAACACCAUAUCACUAUAUAUCAUUACUUACACAAUUACACUGAAAGAAAAAUGUUCAGUCUAUUCUUGGCUAGAAAACUAGGAAGACCCUAGAGAAAGCAUUGCAUUUAUAACCAUGCAUAACACGGUAUGACUUAGACAAAAACAGCGAUGUAGAAGUUAUGUCUUUC